GAGUCCAUUCAGAAGUUGUUCUGACCCAAGGGGGUUCAGAGAUGAAGAGGCCCAGUGAAUCCAUUCAGCUGACAUGUUCCACAAGUGGAUUUGUUGUGACUGACUAUUGGAUGGCUUGGGUCAAACAGAAGCCAGGGGAGGGCCUGAAAUGGCUGUUAUGGUACCGGAAAUCUUCUGAAACCAAAUACUAUUCCACCACCAUCCAAGGACGAUUCACAGCCUCCAAGGAUAGCUCCAAUUUUUAUUUGCAAAUGAACAGCCUGAAAGUGGAGGACACAGCUGUGUAUUACUGUGCAAAACAAGAUACACAGUGA